rnacentral:lncRNA from 1 species
UUCUAGACCUCCCUCAGGGUUCAGCCACUUGAAGAUCAUUUCCACUUGAAGAACACUUUCUAUGGAAAGUAUUCCUCACCUAAUGGCUUUACUUUGUGCCCCAAAAACAAGGGCUAAAGAAAUCACGCUAGACUUUAUCCACUUUGCCAUGCCUGUUUGGCAAUGUUGUUUAGGUCUUAACACUUCAUGCCUAUAUUCUAAGUCCUUGCAAGGCAAGGACCUCAUUUGCCACACUAGUUAAUUAUUUUGUAUCUCCCCAAGCAAUAAAUCCAAUCCCAUGAACACAGCAGGACUUGCUAAAUGCACCCACUGCUUCUGCAUCUACUGUGUGCAUGACAACUUU